rnacentral:rRNA from 1 species
ACGCCUAACACAUGCAAGUCGAACGAAGUAGCAAUACUUAGUGGCAGACGGGUGAGUAACAUGUGGGUAUCUACCCUUUGGCCUGGAAUAACACGAGGAAACUUGUGCUAAUACCGGAUAAGUCUUUACGGAGAAAGCUUUAUGCACCAUUGGAUGAGCCCGCACUUGAUUAGUUUGUUGGUGGGGUAAUGGCCUACCAAGACUGUGAUCAAUAGCUGAUUUGAGAGGAUGAUCAGCCACAUUGGGACUGAGACACGGCCCAAACUCCUACGGGAGGCAGCAGUGGGGAAUCUUGCACAAUGGAGGAAACUCUGAUGCAGCGAUGCCGCGUGAGUGAAGAAGGCCCUUGGGUUGUAAAGCUCUUUCGUCGGGGAAGAAAAUGACUGUACCCGAAUAAGAAGGUCCGGCUAACUUCGUGCCAGCAGCCGCGGUAAUACGAAGGGACCUAGCGUAGUUCGGAAUUACUGGGCUUAAAGAGUUCGUAGGUGGUUGAAAAAGUUGGUGGUGAAAUCCCAGAGCUUAACUCUGGAACUGCCAUCAAAACUUUUCAGCUAGAGUUUGAUAGAGGAAAGCAGAAUUUCUAGUGUAGAGGUGAAAUUCGUAGAUAUUAGAAAGAAUACCAAUUGCGAAGGCAGCUUUCUGGAUCAUUACUGACACUGAGGAACGAAAGCAUGGGUAGCGAAGAGGAUUAGAUACCCUCGUAGUCCAUGCCGUAAACGAUGUGUGUUAGACGUUGGAAAUUUAUUUUCAGUGUCGCAGCGAAAGCGAUAAACACACCGCCUGGGGAGUACGACCGC